rnacentral:RNase_P_RNA from 1 species
UGAGGACGCCGGGCGGUCGCAGGCGCGCAGGCGCUUGAGGAAAGUCCGAGCACCGCAGGGCAGGGUGCCGGUGAAAUGCCGGCGGAGGCGACUUCAGGGAGAGUGCAACAGAGAUAUACCGCCCGCUCCGGCGGGUAAGGGUGGAAAGGCGAGGUAAGAGCUCACCGACGGCCUGGCGACUGGUCCGUCCUGUAAACCCCACCUGGUGCAAGAUUGAUAGGGAAGCAUAUGCGGCGGCCCGUCGCGCUUCCGGGUAAUCGCUAGAGCCUGAUGGCAACUUCAGGCCCAGAUAGAUGAUCGUCCAAGACAGAACUCGGCUUAUAGACGUCGCUCACAGG